rnacentral:rRNA from 1 species
UGGUGGAGUGAUUUGUCUGGUUAAUUCCAUUAACGAACGAGACCUCGACCUGCUAAAUAGUCGUCAUCAUCUUUUGAUGGUGCACCGACUUCUUAGAGGGACUAUCGGUGUGUAGCCGAUGGAAGUUCGAGGCAAUAACA